rnacentral:rRNA from 1 species
GAGUUUGAUCCUGGCUCAGAACGAACGCUGGCGGCGUGGCUGAGACAUGCAAGUCGCACGGAACUGUGAUUGGGUAACUAAGAGCAGUUUAGUGGCGAAAGGGUGAGUAAUGCAUGGGUAACGUACCCCGGGCACCGGGAUAGCAGCGUCUGCUUCGGCAGGCUACCGAAAGGGCUGGUAAUACCGGAUGUGGUCAUGAACACUGCGGUGUUUUUGAUCAAAGGUUGGGGAUCCGCUUCGGCGGACCUAAUGGCCUAGGAGCGGCCCAUGUUCCAUCAGCUUGUUGGUAAGGUAACGGCUUACCAAGGCUGCGACGGAUACCGGGGCUGAGAGGCUGGUCCGGCACAUUGGGACUGAGACACUGCCCAGACCCCCACGGGGGGCUGCAGUAACGAAUCUUCCGCAAUGGGCGCAAGCCUGACGGAGCGACGCCGCGUGUGGGAUGAAUUCCCUCGGGAUGUAAACCACUGUCAGGGCUAUGGACGCAAACCGCAGUAAUAUAGCGGUGCGCAGACCUAACCCAAAGGAAGCCACGGCUAACUUCGUGCCAGCAGCCGCGGUAAUACGAAGGUGGCAAGCGUUGUUCGGAAUAACUGGGCUUAAAGAGCACGUAGGCGGCCGGUCUAGCAUUUUGUGAAAUCCCUCGGCUUAACCGAGGAAUUGCGAGGUGAACUGGCCGGCUUGAGCUGCAGAUGGGUGACUGGAACUCUAGGUGGAGUGGUGAAAUGCGUAGAUAUCUAGAGGAACGCCGGUGGUGAAAACGGGUCACUGGCUGCAUGCUGACGCUGAGGUGCGAAAGCGUGGGUAGCGAACGGGAUUAGAUACCCCGGUAGUCCACGCCGUAAACGAUGGGUACUAGGUUCGGGGGAGUUUGACCUUUUCCGGGCCGAAGCAAAAGUACUAAGUACCCCGCCUGGGGAGUACGGUCGCAAGGCUAAAACUCAAAGGAAUUGACGGGGGCUCACACAAGCGGUGGAGCAUGUGGCUCAAUUCGAGGCAACGCGAAGAACCUUAUCCUGGGUUUGACAUGGUUGGAUGCCCUCGGUGAAAGCCGAGUAAGCUGCCUUCGGGUGAAACUUCCACAGGUGCUGCAUGGCUGUCGUCAGCUCGUGCUGUGAAGUGUCGGGUUAAGUCCCCUAACGAGCGAAACCCUUGUCUCUAGUUACCAGCGAGUAAUGUCGGGGACUCUAGAGAGACUGCCGGUGUUAAACCGGAGGAAGGUGGGGAUGACGUCAAGUCCUCAUGGCCUUUAUGCCCAGGGCUGCACACGUGCUACAAUGGUCGGUAUAAAACGAAGCAAUACCGCGAGGUGGAGCAAAUCGGAAAAAGCCGGCCCCAGUUCGGAUUGCAGGCUGCAAUUCGCCUGCAUGAAGUUGGAAUCGCUAGUAAUCGCAGAUCAGCUAUGCUGCGGUGAAUAUGUUCCUGAGCCUUGCACAC